rnacentral:rRNA from 1 species
CAUGCAGUCGAGCGGUAACAGAAGAAGCUUGCUUUCUUGCUGACGAGCGGCGGACGGGUGAGUAAUGUAUGGGGAUCUGCCCGAUAGAGGGGGAUAACUACUGGAAACGGUGGCUAAUACCGCAUGACGUCUACGGACCAAAGCAGGGGCUCUUCGGACCUUGCGCUAUCGGAUGAACCCAUAUGGGAUUAGCUAGUAGGUGAGGUAAUGGCUCACCUAGGCGACGAUCUCUAGCUGGUCUGAGAGGAUGAUCAACCAC